CCCAUUCUCACUCCAAAGGCGUCAAAAACCGAAGCAUGGUCAAGCGCCCCUAGCGUCACUUUUAUGACGCCAAAUGUGCCUCUCGGCGUCGACUAUCGAAGCACUACGACCUUCAUUGCUUUCAGUGGGAAACUUUUGGCGUCAGAAUUCGACACGAGGACAUGAGAUGUUUAUCGCUAUGAAAUCACGUUCAAGAAGUCUCAUUCAGCACACAUCGCGCGAUACUUGCUAUCAGUUCCACAGUUUGGCUGAAAAGACGUAAAGGCAGUCAGCCCAGUGGUGUUUCUGGAGAGGGAUUCCUUCAGAAAUGGAGAAGACAGAAAGCUGCGGAGGCAGAUAUUUGCAGCAUGUUCGAGUGAGCAUGAUGACCACAAGUGUGUGUCAAACUUUUCAUGACCUGAUGACUGUGUUUCCCAAUCCUGAUCCUGGAGAACCCCAGCACUGCACGGUUUUGGCGUCUCUCUUAUCUGCCUUGGAGUCUUCACUGAUGAGCUGAUGAGUUGAAUCAGGUGUGUUUGAUCAGGGAGACAUCUCAAAUGUGCAGUGUUGGGGUUCUCCAGGACCAGGAUUGGGAGCCACUGCCUUAUGGGACACUUAUGUGUUUAAAGAGAUUUUUAAUAUCUAAUUAUCAAUAUUUCACAUACUGUACAUUGGACAGCUUUCCAUGACCUCUUGUGAGAUCUCGGCAAAAAGUCUGACGAUUUAUUCCAAAACAUGAUGCAUGAUGGGAUACACUAAGCUUUGUAUAGCGCUCCGGAGCAGUAUUGGAGAGGUUUAGUGUGUGUUAAGGACGCUGUGCUUUGGCAUUAUUAAGACCGGGGACAGUCUUGUGCACACACUGUCACGUACACACACUCUCAAGUGGCCAAGACUGCAAGUGUGGGUAUCUGGACAGGGUCAAAGUCUUAAAAAUGAUCCCUAAACACAUCACAGUCUUAAUAAUCCAGUUUAACACUUGUAUGAUAUUGUACAAGCCCCAGGACGGUCUCAUCUGACACUAUCAAAAGAAUUCAUAUGACUAUAGCUUGUUAUUAAUUACUUGCUUUCAAUAAUGGAUUCAUUUAACAUUUAAUUAUACAGCAUCUUUACAGAGGUGUAAUGUACAAGCUGCACGUAAUUAAUAAUAUGUCCUUCCUUCUGUCUUACAGGAUUUUUUCCAGAUAAUGCUGUUCUUCUUUUUCAGGUCUAAAAUAUCGAGCUCAACAGCUAUUUUAAGAGCCAACCCUCACAAACCUUCCUAAAACCUAAAAGAGCUAUUACUGAGUCUCAGCGAAUCUUGCCAUGAUCACCUCU